rnacentral:lncRNA from 1 species
UUUUUCUUCGAAAGAUAAUUAUUUUUCACUAACACUCCCGUUGGAAUUUUUCUUUUUAUACCAUUCUUGAAUUUUUGACAAAAUUUCAAAAAUUUGAAAUCUUUCAAUAUUUUGAGACAUGCGGAACGAAAAUAGUAACCCUAGAAGUGAGGAUGUAAAACCGGUUAACUGAUAACCCUAUCAUCAGCUGUUGUUUACUUUUUGAAAUGUCAAUCGUUUCAUCGUGUUUUCAAUCGCGGUAGAAAUCACAUCGUGUGAUUUUUUUUAAUUAAUAACUUAUUCGACAUGUUCUGAGGAAAUAUUCUGUGAUAAACUAUUACGAUGCGUAUUCAUUACGAGCUGAGGCCUUUGUUUUGUAACCUAAUCGCCCCACCUGCUGUCUUCCAGAUGAGAUUUAGGUGCACUCCGGAAACAGUUAAACAAUAAUGUACUCUAUGAUUAAUAUACUACUACACCACGCAAUCUUGGAGUUAUCAUAUAAUCAGUUCAAGAAUUUAUCAACUCCGGCGGCGAAAAGAAGUGCAUGCAUGCUCGCAUUCUCCGUUCGCUCCUGACGGGUGGCUCAGCAGUUAACAUACUGAACGGUAUGAAGAAUAUCCAGACGAACGGCGGGACCAGUAUGCUUCGGGAAAACUUCAUCAACGGUAUGGAUGACUAUCAUCUGGGUGUUUUCAGUGGACGCACAAGGAUGAACAACUCGAGUAACAAAUCCCAAUCCUCUAAAUUGAAUAAUAAUCGAACACCUUCAUUCAAGUUGGUAUUUCUAACAUAUUCUUGGAAGAAGUACAUGUACAUAUUCAUUAAAUAAUAAAUAAUGUUGAUUAUUCAAAUUUAAUGUAAAGCUUUUGGAAGCGAUUUAUGCUGAAUUAAUAGGACUAGGGGCCUUUUCCAAUUCUUUGUGGUAUCUGGAGCCGUAUCUAGAUCUGGAUCUGGUAUCUGGAGAGUAUCUGGACUUCCCAUAAAUGCCUAACCACUCAUUAUACUUCCAUGCUGUUGACUUUUAAGGUUUGGGCACAGACAAACAGACGUCACACUCUCAUCGAUGUCAAUCGACCACCUUUUUAACGGUCGAUUCAAAUAUAUGGUAGGUGGCCAAUCCACCACCCGUGUAAUGAAAUCGAAUAACCCCUGUAUAGAGCAGCUUUCUGCACGAAAGCAUUUAGCUUCUUUACAAGCGUAGCGCCACCUCUCUGUGAAAGAGAAAUGCAAUUCAGAAGCUUUUUGGCUGCGGCGUGAGUACCGUUGCGAUCUCACAACGUUGCAACAAACCAUCCAAAAUUUUUAGAAAAAGAUAGGCUGGCACUCAAAAACAAACCAGUGGAAAACGGACUAAAAAAAUGUAUAAGUCCAUCAUGCAUAUAAAACAGAAUGAGACAGCCUCAAUUUAGGUAGAUUUUUUAUGAAAAGAUGGGAAUUUCAAUAGCGUCCAGUGUUCAAGGUCACUGUUUGAAUGCAGAAUUUAGUUGGCAUGGGUUUUUUAAAUUUAUUCGAGUGGAGAUCGUGAACAAGUGCACAUCGGGAAAAAACUGAGUAUUGAAAGUUAAUACCAAGUGAAGUUGAAUUGAACAUCUUAACAAGGUACGGCAGAGCCAAGUGAUAGGCAAAUAUUUAAAUUAAAUAGUGUUGCUAGUAGAAUAACACGUGCUAAAAAAAACAACUCACCGGUAAUGAGCUUGAAUUUCAAAUCAAUGUAGGCCCAAAAGAUCUCUAUCGGGAUUUAGCUGUUCUGGAAAGACAGGACGAGCUGGCUAAAACCGUAUUCGCUGGUAAGAUUAGUACUAUGGCGUUGAUAGAAUUUAAAUUCAUAAAUUGACACGUUGAACAGGUAUAAUCCCCACUGCUCAACGUGGGUGCCAGUCUGGGACCAGAAAGUUGUUCGGAUACCCGUUAAACAUCCGAUAAGCAAUCCAGAAGGACCACCCUAAUCGCUUUCCCUCCUGACAAGCCACCCCACUCCCAUCCGGGGAAAUUCUGAGUGGAAGCGUUUGGGAGCAUCGUCUACUACCGCAUUACUAGAGACGGCCGCGCCACUGGUGGCCAACAUAGGAACCAGCAGUAUUCUCCAAGCGUUUCACUGCUCGACACGUCACACGGGUUGCCUACCUAAUAGCGCAACAUAAUCAGCCGAUCCGCUCGAUAGCCGAAUCUGCUGGAAUCGCCGACCAGGGGUCUGCAUCACGUUAGUGCACACGGAGCAGGAAUUGUGCAACACUACGCUCGUUCAGUUGGAUGUACGGUGCCCGCUGAUCGAAGCCCGUCUUCGUAUUCAAGUCCAAUAUCACCUGCCAGCCUUUCCGCCACCCGGCCAAGUCCCAUUGGUCGCUGCGUUACGACUACUACCACCACGCUCUUUCAGUUGGAUGAAUGGUGCCCGCUGAUCGAUGCCCUUCAUCACGCUCGUUUGAAUAUCAACCCGCCAUUCCGACUCGGGCCCAGUCCUAUUGGUCUCUGGGUUAACGAGUACCACGCCAUCUACCACGAUUUCACCACCAAGACGCUUCCCGCCACGCUGCUUCCGAUUGCUGCUGCCGAUCUUCUGCGCCAAAACAGGAUAACAGGUCAGAUCUGAUUUUUUUUUUAUGAACCAUAAUGAGCUCGAAGAACUUCAUGUAAAGCAAGUGACGUCACUUAGGUAAAUUUAAAAACUAGAAUAUAGAACAUGUUGAAUUCAGAA